rnacentral:rRNA from 1 species
GAUGAACGCUAGCGAUAGGCCUAACACAUGCAAGUCGAGGGGCAGCACGUCUUCGGAUGGUGGCGACCGGCGCACGGGUGAGUAACACGUAUGCAACCUACCUUCUACACGGGGAUAACCCGGAGAAAUCCGGACUAAUACCCGAUAAUACAGGGGUCCCGCAUGGGAAUAUUUGUUAAAGCUUUAUGGGUAGAAGAUGGGCAUGCGUUCCAUUACCUAGUUGGUGAGGUAACGGCUCACCAAGGCUACGAUGGAUAGGGGAACUGAGAGGUUUAUCCCCCACACUGGAACUGAGACACGGUCCAGACUCCUACGGGAGGCAGCAGUGAGGAAUAUUGGUCAAUGGAGGCAACUCUGAACCAGCCAAGUCGCGUGAAGGAUGAAGGUCUUAUGGACUGUAAACUUCUUUUGUAAGGGAAUAAAGUGAGCCACGAGUGGUUUUUUGCAUGUACCUUACGAAUAAGGAUCGGCUAACUCCGUGCCAGCCGCCGUGUAACAC